GAUGAACGCUAGCGGCAGGCCUAAUACAUGCAAGUCGAACGGUAACAUGAGUAGCAAUACUUGAUGACGAGUGGCGCACGGGUGCGUAACGCGUAUGCAAUCUACCUUUGACUGGUGAAUAGCCCGAAGAAAUUCGGAUUAAUACACCAUAGUAUAGUUGAAUGGCAUCACUUAACUAUUAAAACUCCGGUGGUUAAAGAUGAGCAUGCGUGACAUUAGCUAGUUGGUGAGGUAAUGGCUCACCAAGGCUACGAUGUCUAAGGGAUCUGAGAGGAUUAACCCCCACACUGGUACUGAGACACGGACCAGACUCCUACGGGAGGCAGCAGUAAGGAAUAUUGGACAAUGGUCGCAAGACUGAUCCAGCCAUGCCGCGUGAAGGAUGACGGCCCUAUGGGUUGUAAACUUCUUUUGUAUGGGAAAAAACCUCUUUACGUGUAAAGAGCUGAUUGUACCAUAAGAACAAGGAUCGGCUAACUCCGUGCCAGCAGCCGCGGUAACAC
rnacentral:rRNA from 1 species